rnacentral:rRNA from 1 species
AGAGUUUGAUCCUGGCUCAGAAUCAACGCUGGCGGCGCGCCUAACACAUGCAAGUCGAACGAGAAAGCGGGAGCAAUCUCGCAAGUAAAGUGGCGUACGGGUGAGUAACACGUGGAUGAUCUGCCCUGGAGUGUGGAAUAACGCUGGGAAACCGGCGCUAAUACCGCAUAUUCCCGAGAGGGGAAAGCAGCAAUGCGCUCGAGGAGGAGUCCGCGGCCGAUUAGCUAGUUGGCAGGGUAAAAGCCUACCAAGGCUGUGAUCGGUAGCCGGCCUGAGAGGGCACACGGCCACACUGGCACUGAAACACGGGCCAGACUCCUACGGGAGGCAGCAGUGGGGAAUCUUGCACAAUGGGGGAAACCCUGAUGCAGCGACGCCGCGUGAGCGAUGAAGCCCUUCGGGGUGUAAAGCUCUUUCGGCAGGGAAGAUUAUGACGGUACCUGCAGAAGCAGCUGCGGCUAACUACGUGCCAGCAGCCGCGGUAAUACGUAGGCAGCAAGCGUUGUUCGGAGUUACUGGGCGUAAAGGGUGUGUAGGCGGCUCUCUAAGUUUGGUGUGAAAUCUCCCGGCUCAACCGGGAGGGUGCGCCGAAAACUGGAGGGCUAGAGUGCGGGAUGGGAGAGUAGAAUUCCUGGUGUAGCGGUGAAAUGCGUAGAUAUCAGGAGGAAUACCGGUGGUGUAGACGGCUCUCUGGACCGCAACUGACGCUGAAACACGAAAGCGUGGGUAGCAAACAGGAUUAGAUACCCUGGUAGUCCACGCCCUAAACGAUGCAUAUUUGGUGUAGGUCAUUCAGUUGAUCUGUGCCGGAGCUAACGCGUUAAAUAUGCCGCCUGGGGAGUACAGUCGCAAGGCUGAAACUCAAAGGAAUUGACGGGGGCCCGCACAAGCGGUGGAGCAUGUGGUUCAAUUCGACGCAACGCGAAGAACCUUACCUGGGCUCGAACGGCUGGUCAACGAUCGUGGAAACACGGUUACUCCGCAAGGGGGUCCA